rnacentral:rRNA from 1 species
UACGUAGGUGGCGAGCGUUGUCCGGAUUUACUGGGCGUAAAGAGCGCGCAGGCGGUCGUACAAGUCGCGUGUGAAAGCCCCUGGCUCAACUGGGGAGGGUCACGCGAUACUGUUCGACUCGAAGGCAGGAGAGGGAAGUGGAAUUCCCGGUGUAGUGGUGAAAUGCGUAGAUAUCGGGAGGAACACCAGUGGCGAAGGCGGGUCUCUGGGCAGUAACUGAUGCUGAGGAGCGAAAGCGUGGGGAGCGAACAGG